rnacentral:rRNA from 1 species
AGCGAACGCUGGCGGCAGGCUUAACACAUGCAAGUCGAGCGGCCACUUUCGGGUGGCUGCGGCGUACGGGUGAGGAACGCGGGGGAACGGGGCCACAGGUUCGGAAUAACUCAGGGGAGCUUGAGCUAAUAGCGGAAACGCCCCUAUGGGGGAAGGCUUGCUGCGGGAGGAUCGGCCCGUGCUUGGGUAGCUAGGUGGUGAGGUAACGGCGCACCAAGGCGACGAUCAGUAGCUGGUCUGGGAGGAUGCUCAGCCAACCUGGGCCUGAGACACGGCCCAGACUCCUACGGGAGGCGGCAGUGGGGAAUAUUGGCCAAUGGGCGCAAGUCUGAUCCAGCCAUGCCGCGUGAGUGAUGAAGGCCUUAGAGUUGUAACGCUCUUUUAUCCGGGACGUUUAUGACGGUACCGGAGGAAUAAGCCCCGGCUAACUUCGUU